rnacentral:tRNA from 1 species
CUGAGUGUAACGCUCAGUUGGAAGAGCAUUGGGCUAGUAUUCCAAAGGUCGUAGGUUCGAUUCCCACCAUGGUCAGG